AUCAAGAAACAGCGCACAGGAAAAUGACCUAUGAAUUGACAGACAAUAUGGCCAAGCUUGUCUGUCAUUUCUGUAGGCCAAUAUUCUGUAUGUCUCUGCUACUUC
rnacentral:pre_miRNA from 15 species